rnacentral:lncRNA from 1 species
AAGGCAGGUUCCCCUCCCGCUUCAUCCCGGGGAUUUUAACCCCUUCCUCUCCCUGCUGGCCUGGGGCGUGCACAUCCCACUGCAAUCCCCCCUCUUUGGGGAGCUCAGAGCCCACCCAGGGCCCAGUCCGAGGCCCUCUCCAGGAUGUGACAAUUCUAUAAUGGUCCGUGGGCCGUGACCUGCGGAAACCAGAGGCAGGAGCUUUUUUGGUCAAGGAAGCCCACACGUAGUAAUUAAAGUGAGACAGGCAGUGAGCUGGCUGCCGGCUCCCAGCACACGGCAGUAGCAGCGGCAGGUCGCGGCACCGGCACCAUGGACCCCUCAGUGACCAAAGCCACCCUGAAGGUGCUGGGGCUGUGCGUGGUCCUGCUCUUCCUGGUCGCCGCGGUGACGGUCUCCGUGGCGGUGAUGAUGUGGCACUCGGAGGCAGUACGGAGGCUGCAGGGCUGCCGGGAGCAGGCAGCCAAUGAGACCUCAGCCCUGGGGGGCCGCGUGGCCGAGCUGGAGCGGGACGUGGCCGAGCUCACGGGGCGGCUGCAGGAGGACGCCCAGAAGAAGCAGCAGCUUCAGAAGCAGCUUGGCCAGGCCAAGGAUGAGGGCAGGAAGCUCAAAGCCACCUUGCUGUCCUGCCAGGAGCGUGAGAGCACGCUCUCCGCCAACGUGACAGCCCUGCGGAACGCGCUCACGGCCAUUCAGCUGGAGGGCACCGAGAUGGACACCAGAAACAUUGCCUUGCAAGCGGAGCUGACCCAGUGGCAGGGGAAAGCCGCGGAGCAGGAGCUGCGGCUGGAGGAGGCGCUGCAGCUGCACCGAGCGUCGGAGGCGCGGAGGGAGCAGUGCGAGGCCCGGCAGAGCGAGCUGCAGCGCAGCAUGCGGGACUACAGGGCCGAAAUCGACUCCCUCCAGCGGCGGCUGAGCUCCCGAGCUACCAGGCGCAGGUGCCCCCCAUUCUGGUAUUUUGUGUGGGUGCUGGCAAGCACUUCUUGCUUUAUUUUCUCGCUCGAAGGGUUGAAAUCUUACGUCUGAAGCAUCUAGGGGAAGCCAGGCUUAAAGGAGAUGACAGGGCUCGUGAGCAACCAUUUCUGAUCCCCC